UNUGACUUGAGUGCAGAAGGGGAGAGUGGAAUUCCAUGUGUAGCGGUGAAAUGCGUAGAUAUAUGGAGGAACACCAGUGGCGAAAGCGGCUCUCUGGUCUGUCACUGACGCUGAGGCUCGAAAGCGUGGGUAGCGAACAGGAUUAGAUACCCUGGUAGUNCACGCCGUAAACGAUGAGUGCUAGGUGUUAGGCCCUUUCCGGGGCUUAGUGCCGGAGCUAACGCAAUAAGCACUCCGCCUGGGGAGUACGACCGCAAGGUUGAAACUCAAAGGAAUUGACGGGGGCCCGCACAAGCGGUGGAGCAUGUGGUUUAAUUCGAGGCAACGCGAAGAACCUUACCAGGUCUUGACAUCCCGAUGCUAUUCUUAGAGAUAGGAAGUUACUUCGGUACAUCGGAGACAGGUGGUGCAUGGUUGUCGUCAGCUCGUGUCGUGAGAUGUUGGGUUAAGUCCCGCAACGAGCGCAACCCUUAUUGUUAGUUGCCAUCAUUAAGUUGGGCACUCUAGCGAGACUGCCGGUAAUAAACCGGAGGAAGGUGGGGAUGACGUCAAAUCAUCAUGCCCCUUAUGACCUGGGCUACACACGUGCUACAAUGGUCGGUACAACGAGUUGCGAGCCGGUGACGGCAAGCUAAUCUCUGAAAGCCGAUCUCAGUUCGGAUUGGAGGCUGCAACUCGCCU
rnacentral:rRNA from 1 species